GUUGUAAAACAAUUGUGGCAUAUAGACCCUGUGAAGAUGUCACAGAUGCUAGAACCGAAGAGGAACUACAGGAUUUAAUUCAAGUCAGCUACUUUUCUUGUCAGCCGUGUGGCCAAAGGCAGGAAGAAUGUCUCUCAGACUUCAGCUUUGUGGAGGAAGAGUUCAGAUUGCCAGAACUGGACUAGCACUUUUGAAUUUCCCAGAAUGCCAGUCUUUUGGUUUCCACGGGAAGCUCUGCAUCCUUCCCAACCCCCUCCACCCCUGGGCUGCUGGAGUUUGGGGCCACUCGGGUCUGCAGCCUAAAUCUCGCCUCAUUGUUUUGGGCCAGGGUGGGCAGGGCGGGGUUGGGAAGAGGGCCGGCAGCAGGUAAUUGUUGCCUUUGCAAGGGGAAGGAUGGCUUGUGUCCUGGGGACUCUGGGAAAAAGGCCCAUUCUGGUGGCGUGCAUUGGAUCUCCGCACGAGCCUAAUAACUGUGGUGCAUCUAAAGAUGUCAUAAAUAACGGAUGGGACGUUAUGCGGGGCCGGGGCGCGCGGCUGCUAACGUGAGCCCUUGCAUCGGGGUGCUGGCAUAGCAGUUCGGUUUGGCUCUGAAGGAGGAUGUGGCUCCGGCUCCUCACUUGCCUGGGUCGCUGCGCCUGGGAGACGCCGCAUGUUAUGUCGCGGCUGCGCCUCUGUGUCAUGCCUGCGCUCCACGGCUCUUCCUCACAUGGCAAGGACGGUGGCUUCUAGUCCAGGCAGUUCAGCCUCCGGAGUGGGCCAUGGGCCCCAUCCAGGUGACCCCCAACCCCCCGCGGCUGACAGAGGCUUUGUAUUCACACGCCUCAGAACCCCUCCCAAAUUGCCCCAUGCCCUUACAUCCCUGGCAGAAGCCGGGGGCUUUAAUUACUUGAAAUCCUUGUCUCCAUUCCAGAUGUUGGCCCCGCCUCAUCACGAGUUGACUGAGACUGAGGUUCCAUACCCGGACACGGAUUCGGUUGGAGAGAUGCCUACAGGGCCAGAUCAGUUUGCUGUUCCACAUCAGUAUCUGAAUAACAAGCAAACCCAACAUCAAAUGUUCCCAGAGGCAGUUCCAGUGCAAGAGCUCCCAGAGGCAGUUCCAGUUCUAGACUGGGAUCAGAAUUAGCCCUUGUUUCUGCCUUCUGGACACAAAAGUAAGACUAAAGACACAGGUCUGGAUCAGGCUGAAGCUCACCAAUCAUUUGAAAUACUUGUUCCACCUCUAGGUAGUGAGAGCUCAAAACCAAUGAAGUUUAUGGUUUCAUCCCCAAACCUGAAGAAAGAUCUAGUUCAACAUCAACGGCAUGCCAAAGUUGUUGUUGGAACUACAGGCCAAUUUCAAAAAAAAACACUCAGGGUCUAGAACAACAGUUGCAGGGUCAUUAUUUAGAUCCCAGUAUGUAUGCCAUUUAACCUGAGGAGAGCAUACCUAGGGAUUUUUCUGGGAGCCCAUAUAAACCUAUGGAGCCCCCAGAGGAAGCUGAAACUUCUCCAUCCCAGCAGGAGGCCCAACCUCCUCAUCACGAGCUCACUGAGGAAGCUGAAACUUUACCCCCACAGGAGCCCCGUGCUCAGCAUCCACAAAGCCCUGAGCAGGCAGAAUCUUUUUCAACCUUUCAGUCUUCUAAAGUUCUGCGGCUUUUCCUGUGCUUUAAAGGAGACUCCAAUCUACCUGGUGAAACCUGUUUGCUGCAAUUCUGCCUUGGUUUCAACUCCUCUUCGUUGCCUUACCUCAAUAUAUUUUUCCACGAAAGUUGUCCUUUUUAACUCUGCAGGUUUGUGAACUGCAGUGCCCCUGAGCUCCAUUUUUCAACUCGCUCUUUUGUGAACUGGCCGCAAAACCGCAGGAUUGCUUCAGGCCCUAUUCUGGUUCCGGGGCGGCAGGCUGAGGCUUUGGUUAAUUCUUCCUCCUGAUGGGAAAUUAGAGGUGCAUGUGCCCCUCCAAACGCCUACAGCUGUUCUCUCAUUGGUUCCCCCUCAUCCCGUUCAUCCUCCGCACUAAUUGCAGACUGUGCGAAACAGGAGGUUUAAGGCGCUGACUCUCCAAAUGGGGAGAUUGUUAGUAAAGCGGCUGGAAUGGCGAACGCGAGCACCAGGAGAGGAAAAGUGAGGUACGUUGUAGAAACCUUUCCCGAUCACACGGUGUACCAUCCUCUGGGUUUCCCAUGCGUGUUUUAGCUGUAGGAAGAUACCCUUAAACCUGGAGAGUUGGGGCCCAUGGAAUGGGUAGCGCGCAGUACUGCUUUAAAGGGUCUGCAUUUGCUCACCCAACCUCACCAAUCCUCUCAGCCCCAAGUGUCCAGCCUCAUGUGUCAUCCAGCUGUGGGGGUAGAUAAGGUCAAUCCAGGGCGCAUCACAGCCCCUGGACGAAUUUUGUAAGAAUUUCUCUCUCUUUCACUCUCUUUGUGUUUUUUUGUUUUUCGAAAUUUAUUUCUAUAAUGGGCUUCAGCUGAAUUUCACUGCAGUAUUUCUGCCGCUCCACGCACACUUGAUUCCCUUACGGAGACGUAUCAAUACAUAGGUUUUAAGAUUCUGACUUGUCACAUAUAUUCCUCUGCGGUGCAUAGGGGGUGUUGAGUCCAGUUCACUGAGCAAAGAGUAGGUCUUCUCUAUUACACAUGUGGUUUAUGGAACGGGAUGUGUGCUAAUUUCAAACUCUGGUUUUAAUGCAUCACCCCACGUCGCCUCUCCCCUUAAGCAGGCAUAAGCGCGUCUUCUAAAUGUGUGACUGUGUUCUGUUUCGUAAUUCGGUUCAUGUGUAGCCAUGUUUACAUUCCGUCUAUGAGUGAUAUCUUAUGAUAAGUUUCUUUUUCUGUGUGACUUCUUUCACUUAGAAUCGUCGUACCUAAAUCCACUCAUUAUGCUGCUGCUGGCCUUAUGACAGUGAUUUCCAGGCUGAGUGACAUUCCAUUGUACAUAAGUACCACAACUUCUUUAUCCGUUUUUCUCUUUCCUGGGGUGUUUAAGUUGUACCCAAGUCGAGGAUUUUGUAAACAGAGGAGCCCUAAGCUUUGGGGUGGCUGUGUCUUGUUGAUUUUUAUAUUUCCCAAGAUACAUGCCCAUGAGUGGAAGUGCCCUAUGCUCUGUAGCUCUGUUUUUCACAUGUUUCCGGAAACACCAUACACUUCUCCAGAGUGGCUGUUGGCAAUUAAAAUCCGGCCAAUCAGGGUAACAAGGCUCCCUGGUCUGCAUGGCCUGUCCUGCCUCUCUGGUUUUUACACUUUUUUCGGAUGGCCCUUUGGACCGGUUGAAGAGAGACUUCUUUGCUGUGCGGAUUUCCAUUGCCCGCUUCCUUGAUUGGCCAAGAAGGGCGUAUGCGUUUUUGCCUGAAUAUAUUCAGGCAAAAACGCAUACGCCCUUUUUGGGCAACUGCAUCAUUGUCGAAGUUCGGCCGCUUUUCAUGUGCUUUAAAGGAGACUCCAAUCUACCUGGUGAAACCUGUUUGCUGCAAUUCUGCCUUGGUUUCAACUCCUCUUCGUUGCCUUACCUCAAUAUAUUUUUCCACGAAAGUUGUCCUUUUUAACUCUGCAGGUUUGUGAACUGCAGUGCCCCUGAGCUCCAUUUUUCAACUCGCUCUUUUGUGAACUGGCCGCAAAACCGCAGGAUUGCUUCAGGCCCUAUUCUGGUUCCGGGGCGGCAGGCUGAGGCUUUGGUUAAUUCUUCCUCCUGAUGGGAAAUUAGAGGUGCAUGUGCCCGUCCAAACGCCUACAGCUGUUCUCUCAUUGGUUCCCCCUCAUCCCGUUCAUCCUCCGCACUAAUUGCAGACUGUGCGAAACAGGAGGUUUAAGGCGCUGACUCUCCAAAUGGGGAGAUUGUUAGUAAAGCGGCUGGAAUGGCGAACGCGAGCACCAGGAGAGGAAAAGUGAGGUACGUUGUAGAAACCUUUCCCGAUCACACGGUGUACCAUCCUCUGGGUUUCCCAUGCGUGUUUUAGCUGUAGGAAGAUACCCUUAAACCUGGAGAGUUGGGGCCCAUGGAAUGGGUAGCGCGCAGUACUGCUUUAAAGGGUCUGCAUUUGCUCACCCAACCUCACCAAUCCUCUCAGCCCCAAGUGUCCAGCCUCAUGUGUCAUCCAGCUGUGGGGGUAGAUAAGGUCAAUCCAGGGCGCAUCACAGCCCCUGGACGAAUUUUGUAAGAAUUUCUCUCUCUUUCACUCUCUUUGUGUUUUUUUGUUUUUCGAAAUUUAUUUCUAUAAUGGGCUUCAGCUGAAUUUCACUGCAGUAUUUCUGCCGCUCCACGCACACUUGAUUCCCUUACGGAGACGUAUCAAUACAUAGGUUUUAAGAUUCUGACUUGUCACAUAUAUUCCUCUGCGGUGCAUAGGGGGUGUUGAGUCCAGUUCACUGAGCAAAGAGUAGGUCUUCUCUAUUACACAUGUGGUUUAUGGAACGGGAUGUGUGCUAAUUUCAAACUCUGGUUUUAAUGCAUCACCCCACGUCGCCUCUCCCCUUAAGCAGGCAUAAGCGCGUCUUCUAAAUGUGUGACUGUGUUCUGUUUCGUAAUUCGGUUCAUGUGUAGCCAUGUUUACAUUCCGUCUAUGAGUGAUAUCUUAUGAUAAGUUUCUUUUUCUGUGUGACUUCUUUCACUUAGAAUCGUCGUACCUAAAUCCACUCAUUAUGCUGCUGCUGGCCUUAUGACAGUGAUUUCCAGGCUGAGUGACAUUCCAUUGUACAUAAGUACCACAACUUCUUUAUCCGUUUUUCUCUUUCCUGGGGUGUUUAAGUUGUACCCAAGUCGAGGAUUUUGUAAACAGAGGAGCCCUAAGCUUUGGGGUGGCUGUGUCUUGUUGAUUUUUAUAUUUCCCAAGAUACAUGCCCAUGAGUGGAAGUGCCCUAUGCUCUGUAGCUCUGUUUUUCACAUGUUUCCGGAAACACCAUACACUUCUCCAGAGUGGCUGUUGGCAAUUAAAAUCCGGCCAAUCAGGGUAACAAGGCUCCCUGGUCUGCAUGGCCUGUCCUGCCUCUCUGGUUUUUACACUUUUUUCGGAUGGCCCUUUGGACCGGUUGAAGAGAGACUUCUUUGCUGUGCGGAUUUCCAUUGCCCGCUUCCUUGAUUGGCCAAGAAGGGCGUAUGCGUUUUUGCCUGAAUAUAUUCAGGCAAAAACGCAUACGCCCUUUUUGGGCAACUGCAUCAUUGUCGAAGUUCGGCCGCUUUUCAUGUGCUUUAAAGGAGACUCCAAUCUACCUGGUGAAACCUGUUUGCUGCAAUUCUGCCUUGGUUUCAACUCCUCUUCGUUGCCUUACCUCAAUAUAUUUUUCCACGAAAGUUGUCCUUUUUAACUCUGCAGGUUUGUGAACUGCAGUGCCCCUGAGCUCCAUUUUUCAACUCGCUCUUUUGUGAACUGGCCGCAAAACCGCAGGAUUGCUUCAGGCCCUAUUCUGGUUCCGGGGCGGCAGGCUGAGGCUUUGGUUAAUUCUUCCUCCUGAUGGGAAAUUAGAGGUGCAUGUGCCCGUCCAAACGCCUACAGCUGUUCUCUCAUUGGUUCCCCCUCAUCCCGUUCAUCCUCCGCACUAAUUGCAGACUGUGCGAAACAGGAGGUUUAAGGCGCUGACUCUCCAAAUGGGGAGAUUGUUAGUAAAGCGGCUGGAAUGGCGAACGCGAGCACCAGGAGAGGAAAAGUGAGGUACGUUGUAGAAACCUUUCCCGAUCACACGGUGUACCAUCCUCUGGGUUUCCCAUGCGUGUUUUAGCUGUAGGAAGAUACCCUUAAACCUGGAGAGUUGGGGCCCAUGGAAUGGGUAGCGCGCAGUACUGCUUUAAAGGGUCUGCAUUUGCUCACCCAACCUCACCAAUCCUCUCAGCCCCAAGUGUCCAGCCUCAUGUGUCAUCCAGCUGUGGGGGUAGAUAAGGUCAAUCCAGGGCGCAUCACAGCCCCUGGACGAAUUUUGUAAGAAUUUCUCUCUCUUUCACUCUCUUUGUGUUUUUUUGUUUUUCGAAAUUUAUUUCUAUAAUGGGCUUCAGCUGAAUUUCACUGCAGUAUUUCUGCCGCUCCACGCACACUUGAUUCCCUUACGGAGACGUAUCAAUACAUAGGUUUUAAGAUUCUGACUUGUCACAUAUAUUCCUCUGCGGUGCAUAGGGGGUGUUGAGUCCAGUUCACUGAGCAAAGAGUAGGUCUUCUCUAUUACACAUGUGGUUUAUGGAACGGGAUGUGUGCUAAUUUCAAACUCUGGUUUUAAUGCAUCACCCCACGUCGCCUCUCCCCUUAAGCAGGCAUAAGCGCGUCUUCUAAAUGUGUGACUGUGUUCUGUUUCGUAAUUCGGUUCAUGUGUAGCCAUGUUUACAUUCCGUCUAUGAGUGAUAUCUUAUGAUAAGUUUCUUUUUCUGUGUGACUUCUUUCACUUAGAAUCGUCGUACCUAAAUCCACUCAUUAUGCUGCUGCUGGCCUUAUGACAGUGAUUUCCAGGCUGAGUGACAUUCCAUUGUACAUAAGUACCACAACUUCUUUAUCCGUUUUUCUCUUUCCUGGGGUGUUUAAGUUGUACCCAAGUCGAGGAUUUUGUAAACAGAGGAGCCCUAAGCUUUGGGGUGGCUGUGUCUUGUUGAUUUUUAUAUUUCCCAAGAUACAUGCCCAUGAGUGGAAGUGCCCUAUGCUCUGUAGCUCUGUUUUUCACAUGUUUCCGGAAACACCAUACACUUCUCCAGAGUGGCUGUUGGCAAUUAAAAUCCGGCCAAUCAGGGUAACAAGGCUCCCUGGUCUGCAUGGCCUGUCCUGCCUCUCUGGUUUUUACACUUUUUUCGGAUGGCCCUUUGGACCGGUUGAAGAGAGACUUCUUUGCUGUGCGGAUUUCCAUUGCCCGCUUCCUUGAUUGGCCAAGAAGGGCGUAUGCGUUUUUGCCUGAAUAUAUUCAGGCAAAAACGCAUACGCCCUUUUUGGGCAACUGCAUCAUUGUCGAAGUUCGGCCGCUUUUCAUGUGCUUUAAAGGAGACUCCAAUCUACCUGGUGAAACCUGUUUGCUGCAAUUCUGCCUUGGUUUCAACUCCUCUUCGUUGCCUUACCUCAAUAUAUUUUUCCACGAAAGUUGUCCUUUUUAACUCUGCAGGUUUGUGAACUGCAGUGCCCCUGAGCUCCAUUUUUCAACUCGCUCUUUUGUGAACUGGCCGCAAAACCGCAGGAUUGCUUCAGGCCCUAUUCUGGUUCCGGGGCGGCAGGCUGAGGCUUUGGUUAAUUCUUCCUCCUGAUGGGAAAUUAGAGGUGCAUGUGCCCGUCCAAACGCCUACAGCUGUUCUCUCAUUGGUUCCCCCUCAUCCCGUUCAUCCUCCGCACUAAUUGCAGACUGUGCGAAACAGGAGGUUUAAGGCGCUGACUCUCCAAAUGGGGAGAUUGUUAGUAAAGCGGCUGGAAUGGCGAACGCGAGCACCAGGAGAGGAAAAGUGAGGUACGUUGUAGAAACCUUUCCCGAUCACACGGUGUACCAUCCUCUGGGUUUCCCAUGCGUGUUUUAGCUGUAGGAAGAUACCCUUAAACCUGGAGAGUUGGGGCCCAUGGAAUGGGUAGCGCGCAGUACUGCUUUAAAGGGUCUGCAUUUGCUCACCCAACCUCACCAAUCCUCUCAGCCCCAAGUGUCCAGCCUCAUGUGUCAUCCAGCUGUGGGGGUAGAUAAGGUCAAUCCAGGGCGCAUCACAGCCCCUGGACGAAUUUUGUAAGAAUUUCUCUCUCUUUCACUCUCUUUGUGUUUUUUUGUUUUUCGAAAUUUAUUUCUAUAAUGGGCUUCAGCUGAAUUUCACUGCAGUAUUUCUGCCGCUCCACGCACACUUGAUUCCCUUACGGAGACGUAUCAAUACAUAGGUUUUAAGA